AGUUUGAUCUUGGUUCAGAUUGAACGCUGGCGGCAUGCUUUACACAUGCAAGUCGAACGGCAGCACAGAGAAGCUUGCUUCUUGGGUGGCGAGUGGCGAACGGGUGAGUAAUAUAUCGGAACGUACCGAGUAAUGGGGGAUAACUAAUCGAAAGAUUAGCUAAUACCGCAUAUUCUCUGAGGAGGAAAGCAGGGGACCUUCGGGCCUUGCGUUAUUCGAGCGGCCGAUAUCUGAUUAGCUAGUUGGUGGGGUAAAGGCCUACCAAGGCGACGAUCAGUAGCGGGUCUGAGAGGAUGAUCCGCCACACUGGGACUGAGACACGGCCCAGACUCCUACGGGAGGCAGCAGUGGGGAAUUUUGGACAAUGGGCGCAAGCCUGAUCCAGCCAUGCCGCGUGUCUGAAGAAGGCCUUCGGGUUGUAAAGGACUUUUGUCAGGGAAGAAAAGGACAGGGUUAAUACCCCUGUCUGAUGACGGUA
rnacentral:rRNA from 1 species